UACGAAGGGGGCUAGCGUUGUUCGGAAUUACUGGGCGUAAAGCGCGCGCAGGCGGCCUUUCAAGUCAGGGGUGAAAGCCCGGAGCUCAACUCCGGAAUUGCCUUUGAAACUGUUAGGCUUGAGUACGGGAGAGGUGAGUGGAAUUCCCAGUGUAGAGGUGAAAUUCGUAGAUAUUGGGAAGAACACCGGUGGCGAAGGCGGCUCACUGGCCCGUAACUGACGCUCAGGCGCGACAGCGUGGGGAUCAAACAGGAUUAGAUACCCUGGUAGUCCACGCCGUAAACGAUGAACGCUAGCCGUUGGCAAGCUUGCUUGUCAGUGGCGCAGCUAACGCAUUAAGCGUUCCGCCUGGGGAGUACGGCCGCAAGGUUGAAACUCAAAG
rnacentral:rRNA from 1 species